UGAUGAUGAUGAUGGUGGUGGUGUUGGUGGUGAUGAUGAGUUUGUUUGAGUCGGUAGCGAAAUCGAUUUUUCAUCCUUCUUCAACCAACAAUCAUCAUCAUCAUCACCGUCAUCAUCGUUUUCA
rnacentral:pre_miRNA from 1 species